rnacentral:lncRNA from 1 species
CCUCCCACCAGCCUGAGGGCGGGACGCUGAGGACCCCAGAGCCCUGCCUCCAGGCUGCUGUCGUAGUGUGACACAGCAACUUCCGAGCAGGAAGGAGAAGCCCGAUCCUAACUGGGGGAAGCUGUUUGCUUAGACAACUUUCUACACUUCAAAUAUUACACCUUAAACAACACACUGGACUAAGAAAUCUGAUCAUGUCCAGGCUUUUAACACCCUCCUCCCCCAAGGAACAAUAAAACACACCAGCGAAAACAAAGAGGCUGCCCUGAAAAGGUUGCAGUGGUGGAUGAUACUGGCAGAAUCAGAAAGGAAGCUAAGAGAAACAGGCGCGUCCUCAGCCGGGCCUCGCGUGUCCUGACACUGCAGCAGGCACGGGAUGUGGGCUGUCCCCUCCAGCACAGUGCGGGAAGGUGCUGGGGCAUCCAAACAGCAAAAGCAAACCUGAGACCCCAAAACAACUGCGUCUGGCCCAGGGGAGUGGGCAAAAAUUCCAACAGGGAGAGACCGUCUCUGGCUUAUUUACAGACAGGAAGAAAGCUAUUAGUGCUCCAUGUAAACAAGCACGCCCAAUUCAAGUUGGAACUCUUUAAAUUCUGGAAGACAGCACAUCACAUCCAGCCACGAGGGGGCGCAGCCGAGCAGCAAGGAGCGCAAAAGUCUCAUUCUUCACUGCAAUUUCUACCUACAGCUCUCUCAAAGUAUACACAUUUUCAAGAUUGUUUCCAAAUUCAGGUAUCCACAGGACACUGCUAAGCAAGCUGGGAGCUUUGCCAAGGCCAAAAUAAAUUAAAUUAUGGUACGGUUCAAACUCUGGAAGUACUGUGUAUAGGAAAGGUUGUUUCUCUGUAUAUAAAAGUUAAUACUGGUAUUUCAAAAACCAUGGUUAAAAUCCCUGGAGGAUUCCUGAAAUGAGAACAAACACACAACAACAAACACACACCCAAGUCAUGAGAUGUGAACGUGGAGAAACCAACAGUUCAGAAUUUCCAGUGGGGCUUGCAACAUGGACUCCCAAUAAAACAAUGAGUCUCAAUAAAUUCGGCACUAAGCUUUUACCAGUAUAGAUAGACGCCUUUACUGGGCCUACUUACUACUUCUUAAUAACUAUAAAUUAUCUCCAUACUGAACAGAUACUGCUUCAGGCAGUUAUUUGGGAAAACCCUUCAUAAAGGACAUUGGAGAGGGGCCAUUUAAUUAUAAAAUGUAACACAGUUAACCUUAGGGAGAUGAUGAAGCGAGAUCAUUAUGUGUAACUACUUGCUGGGAUUCUUUCUAUUUAAAUUAUAAGUUCAGGUUAUAUGAUGUUGUAUGUUCAAUAAUAAUGCUCAUAAUAGAUGAAAUGUUAUAAUGAGUCUCCACAUUUGAAAAUUGGAAACUAUAAACAUAUCUAUAUUUUAUAAUCAUUUGAAUUGUGAUACUACUUCAUAAUAAUUUGGUGUCAGAGUAUGUUUUUAGCAUUUUGAGUCUAAGGCCUCAUUAACAUUAGGGUAAGGAACUCUCAGAUUUGACAAUUUUUCCCAUAAGAUUACGUGCUUUACUAGUAAAGACUAGCCAGCAUUGCCCAACCUCCCAUUCUCGGGCAUAAUGAAAAUAUUUUUUCUCCUGUAUUUAUAAUUGCUUGGAUGGGAUUCUGUUUCAAUCCUCCUGUAGCAUCUUUUCCCUAAAGAUACACUGUUUUUCUCCCUCACACUAGAGACCCUUAAUAAACAAUGUCAAGGAGGUGGGGAACUUAGAGUAGAAAGGAAAGGCUUUGCCAAAAGUAUGUGACAGUUUUUGUGUUUAAAAAAAAAAAAAAA